rnacentral:rRNA from 1 species
CCUACGGGCGGCAGCAGUGGGGAAUAUUGGACAAUGGGGGGAACCCUGAUCCAGCGACGCCGCGUGAGUGAAGAAGUAUUUCGGUAUGUAAAGCUCUAUCAGCAGGGAAGAAAGAAAUGACGGUACCCGACUAAGAAGCCCCGGCUAACUACGUGCCAGCAGCCGCGGUAAUACGUAGGGGGCAAGCGUUAUCCGGAUUUACUGGGUGUAAAGGGAGCGUAGACGGCGAUGCAAGUCUGAAGUGAAAGGCGGGGGCCCAACCCCCGGACUGCUUUGGAAACUGUAUGGCUGGAGUGCAGGAGAGGUAAGUGGAAUUCCUAGUGUAGCGGUGAAAUGCGUAGAUAUUAGGAGGAACACCGGUGGCGAAGGCGGCCUGCUGGACUGCAACUGACGUUGAGGCCCGAAAGCGUGGGGAGCAAACAGGAUUAGAUACCCUUGUAGUC